AGCUUUAAUAAUAUGGCUUACAUAGGUUAUAUAUAUAUUGUUUAACUUUAAUAAAAGUUUGAUUCUUGCUUAAAUUAUAUAUUAUUAUAAUAAAAAAUACAUUUAAAUUAUAGUAAGACCAAUUUAUUAUUAUUUUAAAUAGAUAAUAAAGAAAUUUAAUAAAGUCGAAGUGUAAGAUAUUUAUUAUUAUUGUAAGAUUGAAUUAGUAAUUAUAAUAAAUCCUGACUAAAAUUUGUGCCAGCAGUCGCGGUUAUACUUAGGGGGUAAAUAUAUAAGUUUUGAUUAGUAAUUAAUUAGUUUUAAUAUUUAUUAAUAUAAUUGAUUUGAGCUAAUAAAAGGUGAAAUUAGUUUAUUAGAUAUUUAAUAAAUUAUAUUUGAAUAUAUAAUGAAGUUACUUAAUUUUUGAUAUAAACUAGGAUUAGAUACCCUAUUAUACAUUUAUUAAAAUUUUUAUGUCAGACUAUUUUUAGCUAUGUUCUUAAAAAUCAAAGAACUUGGCGGUGUUUUAGUCCUGUUAGAGGAACCUGUUUUAUAAGUGAUAAUCCACGUAGUAUCUUGCUUAAUUUUGUUUACAGUUUGUAUACCGUCAUUAUUAGAUAAUUCUUAUAGGAUAAAUAAUUGAAAUAGAUAAGUGCAUUCUAGUAUAUUAGAUCAAGGUGCAGCUAAUAGUUAAGUAAAAAUGGGUUACAUUAUUAUAGAAUUAUAUGGAUUAAUUUCUGAAUUGGGAUUAUGAAGGUGGAUUUAAUUGUAAUUUCUUUUUAAUAUGUUAAAAUGAUAGAGGCUCUAAAUCAUGUACAUAUCGCCCGUCGCUUUCAUUACAAGGUGAAAUAAGUCGUAACAGAGUAGGUGUAUUGGAAAAUGUACCUAGAAUA
rnacentral:ncRNA from 1 species